rnacentral:lncRNA from 1 species
UAAAAGAAAUGUGACAUUCUUAAAAAAAACAAUCUAUAUCUCUAAGCAUUUUACUAGAUGCUAAAUACUAAAAUGCCCAAGGAUUUUGUCCAAAAAGGCAGAAAAUGCCCAAAAAAAUACACUUAAAAUGCAUUUGCUUUGUAAAAAACACUGCAACUGUCACUAUGACUCAUCCAAACAUUGACAAAAUCAUUUAAUGAUAAACAUUUGAGAGGUUUAUCAUAAAUAUCCAGAGUGGAGCCCGGGGCACAGAGAUGCAGAGUCAACGCAGUCUCUCUGCAUUGAUAAACGUGCAGACGAGCGGUACAGCCGGUCGAGGCACAAGGCCGCCCAUCUAAGACAUGGUUCAACAUGGUAGUUGUAUUUUUUAAUUCGGUGCUAUGUAAUAAAGUUGAGGUUAUUUAUUUCCGCUGUGAAUUCGUGUUGGUCUAUAAUAAACCUGACUUGAUUCUAAAGGACAGAUAUAAUACGUGGGUCCUACGCAUUCCUACCUAUAACCAGGUGUGUAGACAUCUUUGACCAGCAGGGGGCGCGGGACGCCUCCAGAAACAGACCUUGUGUUAAACCACUCUGGUAAAAAGCUUCAAGAAGUUCCAACAACUUCAUUCCUCCACCAGUAACGUGAACAUCAUGUCUACAUGUAGUAGCAGUCGACGGGAGAUUGAUCAUUUUGGGACAGGUAACAAAGCUAGCAACCAGGUAAGCUAGCAGCACCUGUUGCUAGCCAAAAGCUGAGCAACCAAUUAGCGACGUCACAGGAGGCAGCAUUGACGAGGUAAAGGCGAAAAUCCAACAAAAGGCAAAAUAACACAAAAAACUAAUGCGUUUAGUCCUGCUGAACCAAACGUGUUGUUGGUGCUUACAGUAUACAGAUCUACUAUGGAGUCCAACGACAGCACGGACGAGCGGCGCAGUCAAGUAGCGUGGACGUGGGAUCAUCCUGAGAAAAAUUGCUUCCUGGAUGUGAGCCUGAAACUCUCACUCACAGAUGCUGGGCAUGUGAGAGCUGAACAGAGAGCUCCCAACACAGAGGAUGACACACGGCCUUUUCCUGGACUGACACGUCAGACUGCUCUUCGUCUGCGCCUUUCAAGAUCAUUACAUCAUCUGAAAUCCCCUGGUCAUCAGAAAGGUGUCUGCAAGUAAAAAGCAAAUGCAUAUAGUGCUGGAUUAUUGCUGCCCCACAGUUCACAAAGUGGAGCAGGACCACGACAGAAUUGUUUAGGUCAACCUCAAAUCACCAGCCAUACACAUGAAAACAAACUGAAUUCAUACCAAUGGAUUCCAGGAACAAACAGACUGGGCGUCUUGAUCAUCUGUGUGCUUGAAAGUGAGUGAAGGUCAGAGCGCAUCAUGAGCCAACCAGUUUAAUAGUGAUGAAAUCAAGGAAACGCACUGUGAUUUCCAGCUCCGCUAGAGCUGCAGUAAAUAGAAAAUUGAUAAAAGAACUUUU